UGCCACUGGCUUUUCAGCGACUCGCCGGGAGCCUGCGGCCAAAGCCCCAGACCACACGGACUGCGUGCUCUUGCGCCUCCCCGCUCUGCCGACCUCGCCCAUGUCUCAGUACGCUCCCAGCUCGGACUUCAAGAGGGCUUUGGACAGCAGUCCCGAGGCCACCACCGACGAUGACAAGACCGAGGAGGACGUGCCCAAGCCCCAAAACUACUUGUGGCUUGCCAUCGUCGCCUGUUUUUGCCCCGCGUACCCCAUCAACAUUGUGGCUUUAGUCUUCUCCAUCAUGGCUCAGAACAGCUAUGAGGAUGGAGACAUUGAAGGAUCCAAGCGGCUUGGAAGGAAUGCCAAGUGGGUGGCUGUCGCCUCCAUCGUUAUUGGCCUUCUUGUCAUUGCUAUUUCUUGUACAGUUCACUUCACUUGGAAAUGAAGAAACGGAGGCUCAGAGAAAUGAGGCGACUUGCCUGAUAUCUCGCAAUUAAUUAGUAGAAAAGACAGAGGAGCCUGAACAGCCAGCAGUCAUCUACGAGCAUGGAGGAUGGACCUCAUCCACACACACCCCAGAGGAGUUUUUGAGGAAUGGAUCCUUGACUUCAGACUGUGAGGAUCUUUUCCUUCAGGACUCUCCAGAGGCAGGUCCCUGGCAAAUGAACUAAAACCAGAAAGAACAGCAGGCAACAACAAAAAAAGUCCAAAAUUUAGGAAACCCAGGCAGCAAAGCCAGAUGAGCUGAAGCCAUUGAUUUUUUUUUUUCCUUAAGAAAAUCAAGCCUCACUGUUUCAGUGUAUCAAAAGCCGUUGUGUCCAUGUGUGCAUUCCUCUUCUCCAGAGAUGAGCCUCAGAAAAUCUUGUUGCUUUUAAUGAGGGAAGAAGUCCAGAUCCGGGAGGAGAGGGAAGUUCUGGGGAGAGUAAAGGAUCCUGGUUUGCAGCGUGGAGCGCGUUUGUAGCAUGUUUAAAGUCAUCGAAUAGAGCUGACUUUGUGCCUUGUUUGCUUUCAUUUUUACAUGUUGUAGCUUCACUUUGGCCUUUAGUAGCUCCUCCUCCAUCAGCUCCAUUCCAUCAUCAAAGAUGGGGAUGAAGGAGCUUUCUGGUCUUUCGCCUUAGUCUCGCCUGACUCCCUCCCACCAACCCCUUGCUUACAUCCCCCAUGGCUCAACUUGACCACACCCUCAUUUGUCACCUCAGACAGACUCAGACUCUGAGAAUGUACUUAGUGGUCAGUCACAGGUACAUGGGGAUCCUUCCCAUCCCAGUUCUGAGAAUAUACUGCCUGUGUUUAAUGAACUUACUUCAAUCUCUCUCUCUCUUUAGCAAGUCUCAGGCAAGAUCUUUGAUUUUCCUGGAUGCAACCUGGAAAUGCCACCCACUGUAUUUAUUUUUCUGUCAAAUGUAAACCCUGUAGGUGUGACUACUGGUCUAACAAUGCCACCAUUAUUCUGCCUGCCAGAACACGCUAACCCCGUGUGCAAGAUAUACCACUGGUGGUACACAAAGAUAACUUUUAAGUCAUUUGCAGCCACAAGAUUAAGUGUCACUAAAUCACAAAGAACAUUUGCAUUUUUCUUUUUCAAUCCUGAUUACAUUUUAGAGAAAGUCUCUGUUUAGUGCUCAUGGGUCCUCAACACCUUUCUGAUUCUUUGGUUUGUUUCCCUUCUUAAUAAAGAGCAGACCUCAAGUUCAAAGUCUUCUGUUUAGACAAAAUUUAAUAACUUAGUGGGUUUUCAGUCUAUGUAUUUUAUUGCUUUCCAUUUAUGAGUCUCCACUUAGGAAUAUAAUUUUCUUGUCAAAUGCAUUUACUUACAAAAAGAAGUGGACUCAAAGAAAAUAUUAAGUGAUUAAUACAAAAGGUGAUAAGGGCAUAUAUGUUAAAAAUAACUUCAAAAACUAGUACUAGAAAUCAAGAAAAUAACCUUCCUAAGCAAAAGAAGAGGCAGCUUAUUCUAAGUGAAUGAACUAGUGCCUAAAUCAAAACACCUGAGUUUCAAUGCCUUCUUUGCCACUAUCUAUCUAUGCAAGCCAGUUUUAGGCAAGUUUCUCAGCCUUCUGUGCCUCAGAUUUCUUCAUCUGGAAAACGGAGAUAAGAACACCUGCCUACUUAUCUCGGAAUGGUCAGUAUGAUAAUUAAUCACCAUGAUAGAUACGAUUGCCCCAGAGGGAAAAUUCUAAGUGUUACACAAAUACAAAGCAUCGUUCUUAGAUUAUUGUGGAUCCCAGGGAUUUGUUAAAAACCCUGGACCCUCACAAAAAAUAAACACGGGUGGACACCAGAUUCUACUUGUCAUUUCACCCAGACGUCCGUCAUGAGCCAGCACUUGUCCCAGGAGGACAUGAACCAGGAAUACCAAUUCUCAGCACACAGAGAUCCCAGCAUCAUUCCAGUAUAUGGAUCUUGAUUUCUGUUCCACACACCUUGUUUUCUGUUUGUUUGUAUUCAAGUUCCUGAUCUUUUAUCCAAAUCAAAUGAUGUGUUGCUGAGAGGCAGAAUAAAAAUGG